rnacentral:rRNA from 1 species
GCCUGCAGCUCAACUGCAGAACUGCGCCCGAAACUACACGGCUAGAGUAUUGGAGAGGUGAGUGGAAUUCCUGGUGUAGCGGUGAAAUGCGUAGAUAUCAGGAGGAACACCAACGGCGAAGGCAGCUCACUGGACAAUUACUGACGCUGAGGGACGAAAGCGUGGGGAGCGAAAGGGAUUAGAUACCCCUGUAGUCCACGCCGUAAACGUUGUGCACUCGCUAUUGGCGGCUUCGACCCCGUCAGUGGCUAAGCUAACGCGACAAGUGCACCGCCUGAGGACUACGGCCGCAAGGCUAAAACUCAAAGGAAUUGACGGGUCCCCGCACAAGCGGUGGAGCAUGUGGCUUAAUUCGAUGCAACGCGAAGAACCUUACCAGGCCUUGACAUGUGGUGGACCGCCCGCGAAAGCGGGCUUCUCUUCGGAGCCGCCUCACAGGUGCUGCAUGGCUGUCGUCAGCUCGUGUCGUGAGAUGUUCGGUUAAGUCCGUCAACGAGCGCAACCCCUGUCCUUAGUUGCCAUCAUUCAGUUGGGGACUCUAAGGAGACAAUCCCGCAUUCGCGGGAGGGAAGGUGGGGAUGAUGUCAAGUCAGUAUGGCCCUUACGGCCUGGGCUGCACACGUGCUACAAUGCCCGGUACAGUGGGAUGCUACUCCGCGAGGAGAUGCCAACCCUCAAAGCCGGGCCCAGUUCGGAUUGGAGUCUGCAACUCGACUCCAUGAAGCCGGAAUCGCUAGUAAUGGCGUAUCAGCAACGACGCCGUGAAUACGUUCCCGGGGAUUGUACACACCGCCCGUCACAUCAUGAAAGCCGGUUUUGCCCGAAGUACGUAAGCUAACCUCACGGAGGCAGCGUCCGACGGUAAGGCUGGUGAUUGGGAUGAA